AUAGCGAAGAUUCCGUAUCCUUAUUGUUUAGUUAAGGUAGCAUCACGAGUGUUCUAUAGCCACGUGUAGGCUAGCUAUUGAGUAACCUAUUGAAUACAACUGGUCCUAGUUCUUUAUUUUUUUAUUUUUUGUACCGGGAAUCGAACUUAAUGCCUUGUGCGUGCCAAGCAGGCGCUGUGCAGCCGAACUAUAUCCCCGGCCCCAAGUUUUAGCUCUUCUAAUGGAAGGAAGAUUACUUGGAAUCCGACAUUGGAUUUCGAAGUCCCAAUCACUGAUGAGCAGCAUGGCCUUGGACUUUCUGCAUCUUAAAUUUAUUUUGUUUAAUUAUUUGUGGUACUGAGGAAUAACCCAGCGUCUUUGAACUGAGCUGCAACGCCAAACCGCUUUUACAUUUUUACGUUGUGAGACAUGAUCUUGCUAAUAAGUUGCCCAGGCUGAGCAACUUAUUGUCAAGCCUUCCGACAGCUUGGGACACCCUCUUAUCUUCGUGCUGGGGUUAUAAGCACAAGCCACAACGCCUGGCUAAAUCUUCGAUAGCUGUAUAAAAUCAGAUGAUGCCACCUGCUCCUUGUUUCUGAAAAGAAAUGUUUGAGGUGCCCACCAUAGUUCUAUUAUAAAGAAGGUUCAGGGCCUGGGGAUUUUGCUCAGCGGCUUAAGCGCCUGCCUUGCAAGUGUGCGGUCCUGAGUUCAAUCCCCGGUACCUAUAAAAGGGCCAAAAAAAAAAAAAAAAAAAAAAAGGUUCCAACGUAAACACUGAUCAAAUGUAAUUAUUGGAAGACAGAUAUCCUAUACUGUAGCUUCAAAAAUGGAUGAGUGUGUUGGAUUCAAAUGCAGAGCUCUAAGAAUGGAUUGGUUUUUAUGAAAACUUUAAGCAAGUGAUUUCUGCCUAAAGAAAUCAUAAGCGUUACUAUUUUAGACAAACUGAGGAAUGUUUUUGAAAUCUUUUCCAUGUUUUAAAUUUUUUUAAAAAAAAAUUUUUUUUCGUGCCAGGGAUUGAAUUCAUGAUUUUGCACUUGCCGGCAGGCGCUUGUGCCGCUGAGCUAAAUCCCUGGCCUCAAAAAAUUUUUUCGGUCUUUUUGAGAAAGGGCUUCUAUAUGCAGUUCAGGUUGGCCUUGAGCUUACUUUGUAGCCCAGGCUGGUCUCAAAUUCGCUACAUGUCUCAGCCUCCUUAGUGAGCUACAGCGCCCCGGUAAAAAAAAUUUUUUUAAUCUUGGUGAGAAGAAUAUAAGUGAAUUACUAUCUACACCAGUAACUUUAGACAGUUUCAAGCACUGUUUUUCAGUUUUUUAGCAAAAUGACCUUGUUAUAGUACUGUCACUGACAUAUACUAAUAGAUGAGUGUAAGAUUUCUUUCUAUAAACAAAAGUUUGAAAUAGUUGCUAGCAAGUAAAACUUCCAUUCAGAGUAAUUUUGCAGUCUUUUCAAAGAUAAUUGUGUAAGUGGCUGGAUUUGGGCAUUGUGUUUCUAGGAUGUUUUGUUUCAUUUUUUUAAAAUUUUGAAUUCUUAAGUGAAUUUCAAGUAGAAUACAUCACCAAUAAAAAGGAUUCUCAAAGCAGGCAUUUGGAUUAUUGGCUUUCUUGAUUUUUUUUGAAAGAUAUUUGUUAAAAAUAAGAUUUGCUAUUAGGUUUGGAAUCUUAAUUUAUUCAGACCUUUUAUCUUCCAUUAGAAUUUUUUUGUGCUAAAAGUUGAACUCUAUCUUGAGUACCUUAAGUGUGUGCUGUGCCACUGAGCUACAUUUCAAAUCUCCAGGGGAUUUUGUUUUUGGUUUUUUGUGCUGAGGAUUGAACCUAGGGCUUAGCAUUGAGCCACAUUGCCAUCCCCUUUUUGAAUUUUUGAGAGCAUCUCAUUCAGUCUUCCAGUCUAGGCUCAAACUUGUGAUUGCUGGUCUCAGCCUUCUAGAGCAUUGAGAAUAUAGGCAUGUGCCACUACCCCUCACUUCCCAGUCCUUGUAAAAAUUUUAUUGUGUUUCUCCGGCUAGUCUCAAACUUGUGGUCCUCCUGCUUCCAUUCUUGAAUAUCUGGGAUUAUAGACAUGUAGACAUGUGCUAUUGUACAGGCUCCAGCUGUGUUUUUUUUUGUUUUGUUUUGUUUUGUUUUGUUUUUGUGACAAGAUCUUGUAGUCUAGGCUAGCCUGGAACUUGCAGUGAUCCUCCUGCCUCAGCCUCCUGAAUGCUGGCAUUACAGCCUUCCAGUUUCACUACUACUCCAGCACACAUUUAAGUCUAAACCAUGCCACUGAGCAGUUCAGUAACACUCAUUGUUUUUAUCCGGAAAAGGACCAACCCUUAAAUCGGGUGGAAUUGUGAUCUGUUUAAUUAGUUGCGUGUCUUUGAAGUAAUUUAUAAGAUCAGCUUUAACCAAUGUUUUUCUGUUGAAACUCUUAGAAUUGUAUUUAAAUCUUAAAAGUGGCCUGAUUUGAGGAGCCAGAGUGGUGGCACAGUUGUGAGUUCGAGUCCUGGUCUCUUCCCAUUCCCCACAAAAAAAAAGAAAAAGUGGGAUGAUUUGGGGUAUUGUGGAGGACUUGGUUUACUGGUGGUUAAAUGUAGUUUGAAAGACUAGAAUGAAAAAGUAGUAAAUUAACCCAUCUGUCUAGAUUAGAUAAGCCAGUCACUUCUUAAGCAUUGGUAGUGGAGGGUUUGUAGACUUUUUUUAGUUACUACUACUUUAGGUUUUUGGUAUAAAUCCUUAUCUGAGGGAAUUGACUCAUUGCUUGUUUUGUGGCACAUGUUAGGAACCAGGCACUAUUAAAAAAUACAUCUACAGUAUUAGCUUACUCCUCACAAAAGCCCUAUGAAAUAGAUACUGUUAUUAGAACUAUUUUAUGGAAAAAGUGAGGUACAGGUUACUGUUAAGUGAAAGAGGCAGGAUACACACUGGGACAUUUAAGCUCAAAACCUGUGCUUAACUGUUUGUCUGUACCCUCUUGUCACCAUAUCUGAUAGUAUUGCUUGAUGUCAUAUCAAAAACAGCAUACAGACUAGCUUGAGGAUUUUUUUCUUUCCCUCUGGUGAUACUGGGCCCCAGUUACCCAGAGCUCCUGCAUUGAGGUAUAUCCCCAGCCCAGUUUCAGUGUUGGGGUUACAGGUCUGUGGUACCGAUGCCCAGCUGACAGCAGCUUCCCCCAACCCCACUCCAUGUACACACUAGUGAUUGGACCCAGAGAGCAUUGAGCUGUAUCCCAAGCUCUUUUUUGAGACAGGGUUUCUCUAAAGUUGCCCAGGCUGCCCUGGAGCUUGUGAUCCUCCAGUCUCAAUCUCCUGAAUAGCUAGGAUUACAAAUACGUGUCACUAUGCCUGGCUGCUCUUGGCAUUUUUUUUUUUUUCCCUAGUACUGGGGAUCGAACUCAGGAACCUUGCGGCUUAACAGGCAGG